rnacentral:rRNA from 1 species
UACGUAGGUGGCAAGCGUUGUCCGGAUUUACUGGGCGUAAAGCGCGUGUAGGCGGUCCGGUAAGUCGGUUGUGAAAGUCCAGGGCUCAACCCUGGGAUGCCGACCGAUACUGUCGGACUAGAGUUCGGAAGAGGCGAGUGGAAUUCCCGGUGUAGCGGUGAAAUGCGCAGAUAUCGGGAGGAACACCAAUGGCGAAGGCAGCUCGCUGGGACGUUACUGACGCUGAGACGCGAAAGCGUGGGGAGCAAACAGG